GAGUUUGAUCGUGGCUCAGGACGAACGCUGGCGGCGUGCUUAACACAUGCAAGUCAAGGGGGCCCAGCAAUGGGCAACCGGCGAACGGGUGCGUAACACGUGAGCAACCUUCCGAAAUAUGGGGGAUAGCCGGCCUAACGGCCGAGGUAAUACCGCAUACGCUCUCGAUGAGGCAUUUCAUUGAGAGGAAACCUACGGGGUAUUUCGAGGGGCUCGCGGCCUAUCAGCUAGUUGGCGAGUAACGGCUCACCAAGGCAACGACGGGUAGCUGGUCUGAGAGGAUGGCCAGCCACAUUGGGACUGAGAUACGGCCCAGACUCCUACGGGAGGCAGCAGUGGGGAAUCUUGCGCAAUGGCCUAACGGCUGACGCAGCGACGCCGCGUGUGGGAUGAAGCUCUUCGGAGUGUAAACCACUGUUGCCCGGGACGAAUAGCUCGAUUAAUCGAGCCUGACAGUACCGGGUGAGGAAGCACCGGCUAACUCCGUGCCAGCCGCCGCCGU
rnacentral:rRNA from 1 species